rnacentral:rRNA from 3 species
UUUGACCUCGGAUCAGGUAGGAAUACCCGCUGAAC